rnacentral:lncRNA from 1 species
UUCAUUUUUGUCGAGCCUGCAACUUUUGUUGCAGAAAGCUCGACAUAGGGAUAGUGAUCCAGCGGCGGCGGCGGCGGUGUUAGCUAACUUCUUAAAAGCUUUAUAUUUUAGAAGGUGGAAGACCUGGAUGUUUCAUACUUUGUAUAUAGAUGCCUCAUGUUACGAAGUUUCCGUCAGUCACAUGUCCCAUGUCCUUGACCUCAUUUUCAUGGUUCAGUGACCACUUGAAAAAAAAGUUCAGAUUUUUUGUAAUGUUGAAUUCUCUCUUAUUAUAAGUAAUAGGAUAACUAUAUUUGAUAUGUGCGUACCUUGCAAGGUCCUCAUGUCUGUCAGACAGUUUUCACUUGACCUCGACCUCAUUUCAUGGAUCAGUGAACAAGGUUAAGUUUUGGUGGUCAAGUCCAUAUCUCAGAUACUAUAAGCAAUAGGGCUAGUAUAUUCGGUGUAUGGAAGGACUGUAAGGUGUACAUGUCCAACUGGCAGGUGUCAUCUGACCUUGACCUCAUUUUCAUGGUUCAGUGGUUAUACUAUAGUUAAAUUUUUGUGUUUUGAUCUGUUUUUUUCAUACUAUCUGCAAUAGGUCUACUAUAUUUGUUGUAUGGAAUGAUUGUAAGGUGUACAUGUCUAGCGGGCAGAUGUCAUGUGACCUUGACCUCAUUUUCAUGGUUCAGUGGUUAUAGUUAAAUUUUUGUGUUUUGGUCUGUUUUUUUCAUACUAUAUGCAAUAGGUCUACUACAUUUGUUGUAUGGAAUGAUUGUAAGGUGUACAUGUCUAGCGGGCAGAUGUCAUGUGACCUUGACCUCAUUUUCAUGGUUCAGUGGUCAAAGUUAAGUUUUUGAGUUUUGGUCUUUUUAUCUAAUACUAUAUGCCAUAGGUCAACUAUAUUUGGUGUGUGGAAAUAUUUUAUGAUCUUUAUGUCAGUAGCGCAGGUUUCUUUUGACCGUGACCUCAUUUUCAUGGUUCAUUGCACAGUGUUAAGUUUUUGCGUUUUGGUCUAUUUUUCUAAAAUUAUAAGUAAUAGGUCAACUAUAUAUGUUGUAUAGAAGCAUUGUUAGCUGUACAUGUCUGCCUGGCAUGGUUCAUCUGACCUUGACCUUAUUUUCAUGGUUCAUUGGUCUUUGUUUAGUUAUCUUGGUUAAUGUUAAGUUUAUGAGACAGUCAUGACAGUUGUAAUAAAGCUUUAUACUAUCAACAUAAUAUCAAUGAUUAGUAUAGAAGGCGAGACAUUUCAGCGUGUGCACUCUUGU